rnacentral:rRNA from 1 species
GAUGAACGCUGGCGGCGUGCUUAACACAUGCCAGUCGAACGGAAAGGCCCAAGCUUGCUUGGGUACUCGAGUGGCGAACGGGUGAGUAACACGUGGGUGAUCUGCCCUGCACUUCGGGAUAAGCCUGGGAAACUGGGUCUAAUACCGGAUAGGACCACAUUUUGGAUGGUGUGGUGGAAAGUUUUUCGGUGUGGGUUGAGCUCGCGGCCUAUCAGCUUGUUGGUGGGGUAAUGGCCUACCAAGGCGUCGACGGGUAGCCGGCCGGAGAGGGUGUACGGCCACAUUGGGACUGAGAUACGGCCCAGACUCCUACGGGAGGCAGCAGUGGGGAAUAUUGCACAAUGGGCGCAAGCCUGAUGCAGCGACGCCGCGUGGGGGAUGACGGCCUUCGGGUUGUAAACUCCUGUCGCUAGGGACGAAGCGUUUUUGUGACGGUACCUGGAGAAGAAGCACCGGCUAACUACGUG